AGCCUUCUUUUACGUUCCUUGUAGAGGUUGCAGAGUGCCCCGACGCAUAGUAAUAUGAAGGCGGCGAUAAAAGGUAGGAAUGUUACACCAGUUACAAUCCAAGGUUUGGUGGCGUCGAAAUCCAUGAUGUGUCGAGAGAGAGAGAGAGAGAGAGAGAGAGAGAGAGAGAGAGAGAGAGGGCAAAGGAAUAAAGAGCUUAAUUGUUUGCUUUGUAUAUAUAAGAAGAGCUUAAUUGUUUGCUUUGUAUAUAUAAGGAUGAGGAAGGUAUCUUUAAAUUUGGAGAGGAUAUAGUAGCACCGGCCAACAUAUUUAUAACAAGUGAACUUCUAAUCAAAAUUGGCUUCGGAUUAGUACUACUACAACCUAUUUAUAAAUACGGUUUCCAAAUCCAUUCCGCAAGAGGUAAGGGAAUUCUCAAUUUCCUAAGGGCAACAAAUAAAAAUUAAAAGAAUACGUUUCUUAAGACAAAUGUGUUAGCUUCGCUUCCCCUUUAUAUAACGUCCCACAUAAGAACGGAUCCCAUAUUUUGUUUUUAGGACAACUAGUAACUUACAUAUGACUUGUAUGUAGGUUUAAGUUUUGGUCUAGCAAAAACUAAAGAAAAAUUUUAUGCCGCUGAUUCUAUAGCCUUUGGCCUUGGGAUCGAUGGCAAUCUUCUUGGCAACUCUUGUUGGUCUGUUUACUCUCUUGGUUUCCUUUUAUUUUUUUUUUAUUUUUUUUUGGUGUGAAAUCGUCGUAGUGAAACAUUGUAGUCGCCUAGAUAGUCAUCGCCUUUUGGCCCACUCAUAUAACCAACACAAGGUUAUAAUUAGAUCAAGUUAUCACAUUGGAUAUCAAGUUUGAAGCUUGAAGUCAUGAAAGAUGUCGUGUGUUGAGAUCAGGUUUAGCCAAUGACACUCUGUGUUUAGCGGGGUACAGCGUUAAGGCUCUCUUUAAGGUAAUUGGGAGGAUGUAGAGUAAUGACAUGAUUUAAUCCUUUUUUAUUUUGAUUAUUAUUUUCAGGAAUCGUCUUGGAGUUUAGUUUUGAUUUCUCUCUUAAAGAGAGUUUGCUAGUUUGAAUAUUUCUCUCUAUAGGAUAGUUACUUAAUAUUAAUUUUUAUAUCUCUUUGGAUCUUUGUAUGAAGAGUGGAACUAUUUGAUUUAUUGGAUCUACUUCCUUUGGUGUUUGGGAAUCGUGGCAAUGAUUAGGUGAUGCGAUUAGACCUAUGGGUAUCGUACUCCCUAUCCCAAUAUGAUUUGAGAGUUUUUGUUCAUAAAUGAUCUUCGUGUAAUACAAGGUUUUAUGGUUUUACUCAUCUGCGUAAUCUUAUGAUUGGUGAUGCUUUUUUGUAAUAUUUUUAAAUCAAUUUUACAAGGACCUUUUUUAUGUUGAUUGUUCAUGAGAUAUUUGUAAUGUUUUUUUUUUUUAAUGAAUGAAAUAUCGUAUUAUUCUUUAAAAAAAAUUGGUAAAUUGAGGAUGAAAUAAAACAAUAUAUAUAUGGGGUGAACUUUUCGAAACAUAUCUAAACUACGUAUUAGUAAGGCUUGAUAGGAGCAUAUUUAUGCGCCUUAGUUAGCUAGUUCUUAUGCAUUUCCAUGGUGUUUUCUUAGUUAACGUAGUCUUUUAAGCUAGUUUUAUGUGUUUUCAGGUUUUAGAGACAAAGUAUGCAAGGAAGUGCAAAAUGGAGCAUAAUUGAGCUAAAAUGGCGUUUUUACUUAUGGAGCACAAGGAAUGGACGAGUUGAAGGUCAAAGGGAGCUUAAGAAAUGAAGAAAUGAAAGUGAAGAACAAAGAAUUCAGAAUUAGAACCCAAAGUUUCUAAAGUUGGAAGUUUCUAUUCUUGGAGGUUUCCAUUUGUGAGAGUUUCUAUUCUUGGCUUUGGGCUUCUAGAUGACCCAUCCUUACAUUCUUGGACAUUGCCGCACCAUAGGCCCAUCUCUAAACCCUA
rnacentral:lncRNA from 1 species